UCGAAACCUGCAAAGCAGACCGCGAACACGUUAAAUAAACUAUUCGGGUCCGCGGUGCGGGGGCUAGCCUCCCAUCGCGGUGCCCUCCCCCGUCGCCGCGAGCGUAAGCAACCGGCGAGCGGGCUAACAAAACCCCGGCGCGGGAUGCGCCAAGGAAAAUAAAUCAACGAAGCGUCCGCCCUCUCGUUGCCCCCGUUCGCGGUGUGCACCGGAGUCGCGUACGUCUCUUGAAUGUCAUAACGACUCUCGGCAACGGAUAUCUCGGCUCUCGCAUCGAUGAAGAACGUAGCGAAAUGCGAUACUUGGUGUGAAUUGCAGAAUCCCGUGAACCAUCGAGUCUUUGAACGCAAGUUGCGCCCGAAGCCAUUAGGCCGAGGGCACGUCUGCCUGGGCGUCACGCAUCGCGUCGCCCCACUCCCCCUCUCCCCAUACGGGGACGGGCACGAGCGGGGCGGAUAAUGGCCUCCCGUGCGCCGAUAGGUGCGCGGCUGGCCCAAAUGCGAUCCCUCGGCGACGCACGUCACGACCUUUGGUGGUUGAACACUCAACUCGCGCAACUGUCGUGCGACGGCGUCGUCCGCUCGGGAAUCCAUACGACCCCGAUGGUGCUAGCGUGCACCUCCGACC
rnacentral:rRNA from 1 species